rnacentral:lncRNA from 1 species
CAUCUUUGUCAGUGAUUAACGUUUUUGAGUCAUAAGGCCCUUUGGGGCAGGAGUUGAGAAAUGAUUGCUUUGUUCCUUAGUGACCUUAGGACUGUUUCUCCUGAUUGGGUUUGGGUUAUACUUGUAGCUAAGAGAGCUCUAUUAAAAAUUAAAUUGUAUUUGUUUGUUCAGUCCCACAAGUACUAAUGGGCCUUUUCUGUGAACUGAUUCAGUCCAUCGAUUUUUAUUGAACACCUAUCUUAAACUAGAUUUGGGGAAUGAUGAACAGGUACAGCAUCUCUCCUCACUGUCACAGUGGAGGGCACCAGUAGACACUGCCAUGAGCCAUGAAGGGUGCAGGGCAGUGGUGUGCAUGCUGACCUUAUGGUGGGUGGAGGAGCUUCACUCUAAUGGGCUUUGCUCUGGGAGGUAGUCAGGGAAGGCAUUCCUCAAGAUGAAGAGCAGAUGGAAUCCAUAAGCCAAAUCAAGCCUGUGCUUGUUAGUUGUUGGGCUGCCCUAUACGAGCAGUGUUAUUAGUUGCUGAGAUUGUUGCUUUUGGUGCCGAAAGUCACAUCUCCUCCAUUACAUCUAAUUUCAGUCACAGCUGUGAUCCCGUGAAUGCUGACUGCAGCCCACCUCGGGCACACUUGUCUUUGUCAGGGCUUUCUCUCAAACUGAGGGAGCCACUCAGUGCUUUGGCAGGUACAAUUGAGAAGUAUAGGAGCACUUAACCAGUAAAGGACUGGGCUGGAGGAUUAAUGCCCUUGCUUUCCAUCAUCCACAGGGAAGAUUCUUGGAGCCAUUCUGUAGUGUGUCCCUGAGGCCAAUGGGAUGUCACUAGCACCCCCCCCCCCCACUUGGUUGGUUGUGAUGCCUUCCAUGCCUUACUUUCCUUGCUCCUGUCCCUUGGAAUCAUUUCCCGAAUGAAUUACUUGCAAGUCUUUAUCUCAAGCUCUAAUUUCAGGGGAAUCCUAAUAAAAGCAGUUGGAACAUUUAGGAAUUUAGGGGUGGCAAAUAAAAAUUCAGACUUCCACUUCUCUUAAAACACUGAAGGCUCGGUAACCCUGAGAGCAGUUUCCUUAUGGCAACAGUCAGCUGGGGCUGAGGAGGGACUGUUGAUUACAAUGAGAUAAUCUGAGCUCAUCAAUCUACCCUAAUCCCCAUCCAGUCUGAGUCUUUAAAAUACCUGCCGAGGCUCUGGAAGUUUGGGAAGCUGGAGACCCGGGAUAGCACUUAAAUGGAAUCUUUCAAGAGUAGGUAGGAGUUGGCCAGGCAAAAAAUGUAUCUGCAUGGUGAAGAUAACAUUACAUCAAAGCUCAGGAAAUGGGUAUAUUAUUUAUACCUUGGCAGGAUUGUGUGUGUUUGUGCACUUGUACACGUGCACACAAAAUAGUCUCCCUUUUCCUUUUCAAAGUUACUCAUACUGUGGUAAAGGGUGUAGCAUUCAGUAGAGUCAUGCAAUUCUGGCUUUCUCUCCAAAACAAAACGAAACAAAAUACAUGACUAUCAACACUGAUUAAUUGGAUCGUUAUACAAACAACCCUACAGUAAUAAACACCCAUUGUGUGGCAGUCAGGCAUAUGUUUGUCAUACCCAUUAGGGGAGCACUUGGGGCCCAGAGGACUGAUGAAUUGGCCCACAUUGUCUUACUACUACACAGCUGUCAUAGCAGCUCUGAUAGCAGGUGAUAGUUCUGCAAGAGCAUGUCAAAUUGGUGCUUAUCUGUUAUGACAUCUGUUGAUGGAAACUCCCUUUUAGGUUUGAUCCAGACAAUGACCUUGAUAUUCCUGGUGUAGAAUAAAGGCUCACAAUUAUUGUUUUAAGAAGGAGAGACUUGUAGCUUGUGCCUCACACCUGUCAUAUCAAAUUAUCAGGCUGAAACUGAUAAUACAAUGAACACUGGUUCUCAACAGUGUUUUAUCUGUUGGAUUUGUACACACAUUAAACCUUCCUCCAGCUAUCUUCUAGAAAUCCAUUGAGAUAAUAUGCAGUCACCACCCAGAGUUGCAGUUACGUGCAGAGUCUCUGGCUGCAGAGAGUAACAUCUGUUUUAGGAGGAGAUCCUUGAGAACUAAAUCUUUAAAAAGUGGGAAAACAUCCAUGGUUGAAGUGAGAGUUUGUGCAAACUUCUAGAAAGAGUAAAUGGAGGGAAAACAGAACUUUGAGAGAGACGGUCAGAAUUGGAUUACUGACUGCACUUUGAGGAAUAUAAGAUUCUCAAAGUCACUAAGUCUGGGAUAUGCAGUUUUUUUACCUGUAAGAUGGAGGUGCUAAUACCUGGCUCCCUUACACUGUACAUCAAGGAUUAUAGGAAAUCUGGAAACAUAUUUUUUGGUUGGUAAAGAACUGAAUAAACAUAGCAUAGUGGUGGUAUUAUUUUAUUAAUUAGAACAUACAGACAUUCAAAAAGUUCAAGUGUGAAAUUUAAACAACUACUGUUUUCAACUUUUAUUUUGUAGAGAUAGAUGAAGCAUAAGAAGCUGGAAUGUGCGUUAGCCAGGCAGGAGAUCUGGUUUCAAGUCCAAAUAACAUAACAACUAGUCUGACCUUGGACAUGUCAGUUUUGGUCUUUGUUAGCCUCAUUGGCUUGUGGUCUCUUAAUUUUUCCCUUCCAUCCUCUAGUUCUCUGGGUAGUGGCUCCUUCUGCUAACCUGGCCACUGGAGCACUCCUGUUCCAUGUCUCAGUGUUAGUCUCGUCUCUCUGUGAUUCUGCAGUGCACACAUUCUGCUACUGUCUAAGUUGAUGGUACUUACUUGCAUGUCAAGCAUCUGGGGAGCUCUUUGAAAAUGCAUAUUCUAUGACACUGCAUUCAGAAAGUCCAGUCAGGGUCCCAGGAAUCUAAAUUUUCAUAAGCAUCCUUUGAAUUUCAUGCAGGCGGUCCUUUGAAAAUCAUUGGUUUAGAGCAUACAUAUUUUUCAUAUUUUAUAAAAUUGAAUAAUGAUUUAUAAAGCCAAAAAGGUUAUAGUUUUGAUUGCUUUGUAUUUUGAAUUAACUCUACUGGUUUACUUGUAAACUAAGUUAACUUUAUCAUAAAUACAUUGGGCCAGCUGUUAAGAUUAUUGAGUGUCUCCAGGGUUUACUAUAGCAUCCUAAGUCUUCAUAUACUUAGUAAUAUUCUUUCUGUUUGCUCCAUGAAAGCAAAAAACAAAUGAGCCAACAAGCAAAAUGCAAAAGCAAUACAUAGUUUCAAAGUUCUCCUGGCAUGUAGAUCUUGUGUGUAGUUGGAAUUUUAUUACUGUCAUUUUAGAAUGAGUGAAUGUAGAAUUGGUGGGGUGCUUUCCCCGAAGUUGCCCACCAUGAAAAAAUGGUGAUAUGCUGUUGGCAAAGAGUAGGAUUCUGGUGAAGGGAGGGAGCAGGAGCAGGACUAUGGUUGCUUUGGGUUAGCUUGCAGAACAUUUCCCUUUCACUAAAGAAACCCUUCUCCAGCUGUAUAGUAGCAUCCUUUACUGGACCCUUUUGUACUUCCAAAUCUCAAAUCAGUUAGAGAUGUGGGCAGGAUGUUGGUGAGAAAAAAAAAAAAAAAAA